AGUGAACGCUGGCGGUAGGCCUAACACAUGCAAGUCGAACGGCAGCACAGUAAGUGCUUGCUCUUACGGGUGGCGAGUGGCGGACGUGUGAGGUAUACAUCGUAAUCUACUUUUUCGUGUGGCUUAACGUAGGGAAACUUACUCUAAUACCGCAUACGACCUUCGGUUGUAUGCAGUGGAUCUUUGCACCUUUCGCGUUUGAAUUAGCCGAUGUGGGAUUAGCUAGUUGGCUGGGUAAAUGCCCACCAAGGCGACGAUCCGUAGCUGGUCUGAGAGGAUGUUCAGCGACACUGGAAGGGAGACACGGACAAGAGGACUACGGGAGGGAGCAGAGGGGAAUAGGGGACAAUGGGGGGAAGCAUGAUACAGCGAGACCGAGUGGGAGAAGAAGGCGUUGGGGUUGUAAAGACGGUUUGUUGGGAAAGAAAAGCAGCAGGUUAAGACCAAGCGGGAGUGACGGUAACGAAAGAAUAAGCACCGGCUAACUACGUG
rnacentral:rRNA from 1 species